UUUUAUAAAAAAUCAUCUCGGAUUGAUUUAAUAAAUAAUGAAGAGGAGAAGGAGAAUGACGAAGACGGUUCUAUGUUUAAAUGGAGUAAAACCAAACUAAUCGAUUUAAUAAAUACUUUACAAAUAGAAAACAAAAAGCUAAGGGAAGAUAAUGCCAGAUUACGAGCAUUAAGAGCUAUUAACGAAGAUUUACAUAAAAUGACUGCCAUGUCAUCUACUUUAUUUAAAGACAUGGAUAAAUUACGCAGGAACAUUGAUUCUCUACGUAUUAAAGCUGAUCA